UGUAAAGUUUAAUUCGCUGGAAUUUUAAAAAUUUCACGUUCCAUCGAGAAUAUGAUACUCUAAGGAUUCUCGUGUCGUAUAAUCUGAAAAUCUCUUACAAAGAGAUCGUCAUGUUUCAGUAAUGUUGCAUCUUGGGAAAAGUUCUUUAAUCACCUGUGAAACAUUUAUGAUUCCAGCACUGAGACGAACGAGAUUUUCCAUGGCCUUUACUGACUUGGAGAGGGAGAGGAAGGGAGAGGAAGAGAGAGAAGACAUUUCGUCCAACAACUCUACCGCAAGAAGUCAUAAUCGAAAGGGACCAUAAAUGAAAGGAAUGAGGACGGAUCGUUAAUUUCGUGGCGAGACUCGCUCUAUGUCGUGAUAACUCGUGUUCGAGAGAUGCGGAGAGUGGAAAGAUGAUAUCGAUAAGUGGAAUGAAUAGACUUUUUAUACGCCUGUUUCUUCUCUCCCCUUUGUGAAAGAAAAGGAAGAAUGAUAUCGUCAGAAUGAAUGAUUCAAGAUUCAACAGGGCGCUUGAGGCCAAAUCCGAGUCGAAAUUAAUGUUUGUUUAACAUUAAUCCCGCUAAUUCCGUCGGACUUGAAGGACUACUGGAGGAUCUCGGAGAUAUACCGACUCUAAAUUUUGGUUCUAUCUAAGUUUUAUUUUCAUCCUGCAAAUACUGUUGAUACUUGAGGGAUUAUAUAAGCUAUUGUCCUACUAUGA